rnacentral:tRNA from 2 species
GGGGUGUUGGCGCAAUGGUAGCGCGUCCGCCUCCAGAAAUGGAUUAAGCGGAAGGCUGGGCGUUCGAGUCGCUCACGUCCCA